AAGAAAUAGAAACAGAUCACAAAGUGUGGCCGCAACAGCCCGUAGAUGCAUAGCUGAAGGGGAGGAAGUACUUUUCAGUUUCGGACGAUUCAUACUUUCGACGAUGUCUCUGCCUAAAAAUGCAUAAAGCCUAACUUCAGUUCGGCAGUACUGGAGGCGUACCUGCUUUGCAAUAUUCGGUAUUGAAAUGCAAUGAGCGCCACCCGCAUAGUCUGUAACUGGGUUAUCCAUUUACGAAGCCCUUUUCCAUGGUUUCCAUCAAUAUUGAAGAGGUCAUCUUUUGGCAUUUGAGAAGUAAAAACUGCGCUAUUAUUAAAAAUGUCACAGUUCGCAAAAUCAAAGCACCAAAUUCAGUUAGUGAUGUGAAGAAUCGAAACUGUGUGCUGAAACUCAAGAACAACUAAGAAUAUUGCUAUUGUAGCCCGCAGGCGCCCAAUUCUCGAGUUGGACAGAGCGUGAACGAUCCCAUCGACAAUGUGAUCUUUUCCUUCCCCGGCCUUUCUACUAUGGUUUGAAAAUCGUAUUCUCGAAUGCCUACGAAGCGUUGUUGCCAACAAGUUUAUCAAAUAAAUUCUAUGAAUUUUCCAUAAAAAGGCGAAGAUUUAUCCAAAAUUGGCGGCAUUUSAAAAAUAUUAUACAAAUGUUUUUCUUGUUGACGCAUAAGUWUAUUUGGUUUUAUAUUAAGUGUUGUCUGAACUUACAUUGAAAGCCAAAUAUUUAGUGUAUUUAAUUAACUUCCAGGUUAAAUACAAAUACAUUGUGUUGUUUUUUCCAAUUAAAUGUGUACUUUAAGUGUAAUUUACUGUGUGAAUUGCAGAAAAAAAGUAAAUAUCACGCCCUUAAAUACGGCAUGAGUUCUCCGGUUCUCUCUAGUAGUUUGCAGGAGUUAAAUGAAGUUAAAAAAUAAUUGAUAAUUAAUUAAUAAUAAUAAUUUUUGUUAUCGUUUUUGAUGUAUCUGAUAGUAUGCAGAAUAUGUAAGCAAGUUGGCAAGAUUGGUAUGCAUAAUAUGAGUCCGCACAUAGCAAUCAACGUAUUAAUAAAAGUGUUAUUUUUUGAAAUAUUUAAUUAAAUGUCUUAAAAAUAUAAAAACUCGCCAUUUAAAUUGAAAAUUAUGAUAUUUUAUUAAAAAAUGAUUUUAA